UGCUAUUUGGUUCCAGCCCACCUUAUGUUUCAACCUGCAGUGUAUACACAGCAGUAUUGCAUUUAUGACUGCAGGCUUGAAUUCUGGCGUCACAGCUAUCUAGCUAUAUAAUCUUGAGUGAGCUUUUUAACUCUUCUAUAGCUAGAUUUCCUUAUCAUUAAAGUGACCCUAAUAUUAAUAUCUCCUCUAGCCUUCAGGUGAAAAUUGUCAGGUGAUAUGAAGUACUGAGACUUUUGCCUGUCAUAUAGCAAGCACUCAGUAGAAGUGAACUGUUCCCAAUUGAGGUAUGCGGGGUGACUCAUCAUUCCUAAAAGAGCACACCCUGAACCUUUGCUCAUGCUGUUCCUUGAUUUCCCACAUGUGUGCCUCUCAGAGUGGCACCCAGGCAUUCAAGUCCAGCCUCAAAAAUCAUUAUCUCCAUGAGUUCUCUCAAAACUAUCCUUCUUAAAAGUAAUCUUGCAUAUUCUCUACAUAGGCCUAGGAGAGUGGUUCACAUUUGUCUUAGAGUCUUGAUCCUUCAAUCUCAUAUUAGAGUUAGUUUUGUAUCUUCUCCCAUACUGGACCGAGUUCUCUAAAAUCAGAUAUUGUUUCAUCACUUCUACAGCCCCGUUUUCUCUCCUAAAGGCAAUGUAGCUUGAAGAUUUGUCUAUAGACAGCACUGAAUAAAAGUGAGCUUGAAUGCUUAAUUCAGGGCCUACUUUUCCCUCAAGGUAAUUUUCCUCAGGGCUUCCCACACACACACACACACGCACAAUUUUCCUUAAGUUCUAACCCCAGUGCUGUCAGCACUAACCUGUAGGAAGCUUGUGUUUAAUUAAAGAGGGUUCAUGAUUAACAUUGGAAACAUGAUGCUAUGUCUCUUUAGCCAACUCCAGCUUACUGGAAAAAUUCCAUGUAGUAUUUUUUGUGACAAAGGGCAGAAAAUCCUUUGAGGAACUAUCUUCCCCAAAACAAAGUCAAAGAGUAUUUGUGGGACCAAAGCCUCAUGUAAAGUAAAUGAGGAGAGUGGAAAUUACAUUGCUGCCCNNNNNNNNNNNNNNNNNNNNNNNNNNNNNNNNNNNNNNNAAAAAAAACCAGCCUACAUAAUAUGCUUAUAGGGUGACACAGUGACAAGAAAUCCUUUUCAGAGACUUGAGACAAGUGCAUGCACUCAAUACUACUCAGGAAACCUGUGACCAAACUCCAAGUUAUUGGAAGGAACAUUACUAACGUUCUGGAAAGAAGUAAAAAUUUCUUCUACUCAUCCCUUGAUUUAUGGUGUUAGGCACAGGCAGUUAAUAAUAGUGAGGUCCAUCUUUGGGACAUAUCAUCU
rnacentral:lncRNA from 1 species